AUGUAUUCCCAUGUGCCGGAGUGCCAGGUCACCACAUACUAUUAUGUCGGCUUUGCAUAUUUGAUGAUGUGUUGCUACCAGGAUGCCACCUGGGUCUUUACCAGCAUCCUCCUCUACAUCCAGAGGACCAAGAGCAUGUUCCAGAGGACCACAUACAAGUAUGAGAUGAUUAACAAGCAGAAUGAGCAGAUGCAUGCACUGCUGGCCAUUGCCCUCACGAUGUAUCCCAUGAGUACUGAUGAGAGCAUUCACCUCCAGCUGCAGGAGAAAUACAGGGACAAGAUGCUGCACAUGCAGAAAGGUGACCCACAAGUCUGUGAAGAACUUUUCAGUUACUCCUGACCCAAAUUCCUGUCGUCUGCAGUGCCCAACUAUGAUAAUGUGCACCCCAACUACCACAAAGAGCCCUUCCUGCAGCAACUGAAGGUGUUUUCAGAUGAAGUACAGCAGCAGGCCCAGCUUUCAACCAUCUGCAGCUUCCUCAAGCUCUACACCACCAUGCCUGUGGCCAAGCUGGCUGGCUUCCUGGACCUCACAGAGCAGGAGUUCAGGAUCCAGCUUCUUGUCUUCAAAUACAAGAUGAAGAACCUGGUGUGGACCAGUGGCAUCUCAAUCCUGGAUGGUGAAUUUCAGUCAGCCUCAGAGGCUGACUUCUACAUUGAUAAGGACAUGAUCCACAUUGCGUACACCAAGGUCGCCAGGGGCUAUGGGAAUUUCUUCAUCUGUCAGAUUCACAAAUUCGAGGAGCUUAAUAGAACCCUGAAGAAGAUGGGAAAGAGACCCUGAUGACAUUCACACACAUUAUUCAGGAACUUGUUUUGAUGUAUUAUAGGCAGGAAGUGUUUCUGCUACCAUGAAACUUUUAUCUAGAUCAGCCAUCAGCCUGUCAACUCAGUUAACAAGUUAAGGACCAAAGUGUUUCAAGUGGGUAUCAGUAAGGGAUCUUUGGAGCCAGGAAAAAAAAAAAA